rnacentral:tRNA from 1 species
ACUUUCUUAGUAUAUUUAGUACAACUGACUUCCAAUCAGUAAGAUCUAGCCAUAAACCUAGAAGGUAGUA